GGAAAUAUCGUAUUACUUCGUAAGCCGGCUCGGAUCGUAAAGGGGUUGAGAAACCGUUCUCGUGCGUAUAAAGUCGUGAAUCAGCGAUCGAAGAUCAGGAGGGGGCACACGCGACUGUUUGAAACGGGAGCGAUUGUAAGUCCGCACUGCUCGGCCGCAAUCACGCGCGACUGUCGACAAAGCUGUCGCGGUCACAACAAAACCUACGGAAUAGGGGAACCACGAGGGGUGGCGGCGUCGCGGCGCGAUGCGUCGAGACGACCUCGUGCAGCCGAACGAAGAAACUUGUCGAUGGGGGUGGAGAAGAAAGUUCGAGAUGAGAAAGUUCAAAAGGAUGGUGAAAUUGGAGAAAAGGGAAUCAAAUUAUUUUUUUCUAAAAUAAAAGAUUAAAUAGAGAGAAAGUGUUAUAGAAAUUAUUGGUUAAUUGUUUUUCUUGUUUCUUAUCAGCAUUUAUUAUUUUUUUUCCUGGCAAAAAAU